rnacentral:rRNA from 1 species
UACGUAGGGUGCAAGCGUUGUUCGGAAUUACUGGGCGUAAAGCGCGCGUAGGCGGGCUUGUAAGUUGAUUGUGAAAGCCCUGGGCUUAACCCGGGAAUGGCAGUCAAAACUACAAGUCUUGAGUGCCUGAGAGGAUGGCGGAAUUUCCGGUGUAGUAGUGAAAUACGUAGAUAUCGGGAAGAACACCUGAGGCGAAGGCGGCUAUCUGGCGGUGCACUGACGCUGAGGCGCGAAAGCACGGGGAGCAAACAGG